UUCCUACGGGACGCAGCAGUGAGGAAUAUUGGUCAAUGGUCGGGAGACUGAACCAGCCAAGCCGCGUGAGGGAUGAAGGCACAGAGUAUCGUAAACCUCUUUUGUCAGGGAACAAAGGCGAGGACGUGUCCCCGGAUGAGUGUACCUGAAGAAAAAGCAUCGGCUAACUCCGUGCCAGCAGCCGCGGUAAUACGGAGGAUGCGAGCGUUAUCCGGAUUUAUUGGGUUUAAAGGGUGCGCAGUCGGUCUGUUAAGUCAGCGGUCAAAGCCCGGGGCUCAACCCCGGACCGCCCGUGCAACCGGCAG
rnacentral:rRNA from 1 species